AUUGAACGCUGGCGGCAUGCCUUACACAUGCAAGUCGAACGGCAGCGGGGGAGAAGCUUGCUUUUCCUGCCGGCGAGUGGCGAACGGGUGAGUAAUACAUCGGAACGUGCCCUGUAGUGGGGGAUAACUAGUCGAAAGAUUAGCUAAUACCGCAUACGACCUGAGGGUGAAAGUGGGGGACCGCAAGGACCCAUGCUAUAGGAGCGGCCGAUGUCUGAUUAGCUAGUUGGUGGGGCAAAGGCCUACCAAGGCGACGAUCAGUAGCUGGUCUGAGAGGACGAUCAGCCACACUGGGACUGAGACACGGCCCAGACUCCUACGGGAGGCGGCAGUGGGGAAUUUUGGACAAUGGGCGAAAGCCUGAUUCAGCAAUGCCGCGUGUGUGAAGGAGGCCUUCGGGUUGUAAAGCACUUUUGUCCGGAAAGAAAUGGCUCUGGUUAAUACCUGGGGUCGAUGACGGUACCGGAAGAAUAAGGACCGGCUAACUACGUGCCAGCAGCCGCCGUAA
rnacentral:rRNA from 1 species